UAAUACGUAGGGGGCAAGCGUUGUCCGGAAUCAUUGGGCGUAAAGCGCGUGUAGGCGGCCAGAUAAGUCCGCUGUGAAAUCUCGAGGCUCAACUUCGAGCUGUCGGUGGAAACUGUCUGGCUAGAGUCCGGAAGAGGAGAAUGGAAUUCCUGGUGUAGCGGUGAAAUGCGCAGAUAUCAGGAAGAACACCCGUGGCGAAGGCGGUUCUCUGGGACGGUACUGACGCUGAGACGCGAAAGCGUGGGGAGCGAACAGGAUUAGAUACCCUGGUAGUCCACGCCGUAAACGAUGGGAACUAGGUGUGGGGGGUGUCGACUCCCUCCGUGCCGAAGCUAACGCAUUAAGUUCCCCGCCUGGGGAGUACGGCCGCAAGGCUA
rnacentral:rRNA from 1 species